CACAGAAGCUCAGCAGUACGUCAGCGCCUUGCUGUGUUGGCUCCUGUCACAACUAUUAACAGUGACAGCGAAGAAAGAACAGCGGGCGAGGGAGAUUGAAGACCGGGCGAGGGAGAUUGAAGACCGUGAUAAUGCAGUUUAUUUCACUGGGCUUUCAGUUCUUCCUGUUGUGGAGAAGUUCCGGAAAUUGGAGAAUUCGAUGUUCAAUUCCCUCCCUCCCUCCCUCCCUCCCUCCCUCUCCCUUCCCCCAUCCCACUUUCACUCUGCCUCCUCUUCCAGCUGCCUAUCACCUCUCUCAUGAUUCUGCCUUCUUCUACAACCCAUAGUGCUUUCCCCUUACAUUCCUUCUUCACCUCUCCUGCCUUUCCCCUCCCUGCUUCCUCUCCCCCACCCCUUGAUCUUUCCUCUGAUUGGUUUCUCACCUGGCACCUUCCACCCACCUUCUUUACAGGGCCCCUGCCUCCUCCUCCUUCGGUCCUGACGAAGGGUCUCAGCCCGAAACGUUGACUGCUCGUUUCAACGGGUGCUGCCCGACCUGCUGAAUUCCUCCAGCUUGUUUGUAAGGGUCUUUAUUGGAGCAAGUCAGGCUCACUUGAGCUCGUAGAGUUCACUGUGGAGUCCAUGUAUCCCAAGGAGGAGCAUCACAGGCAGCACUACCCACGAGCUCCCUGCUGCGUUUUCUGAUGCUACAGUUCACCUUGAAGCUGCACACAACGUGCUUCGAUUCAUUUACACUUGUGGGUUUUAAUUUCACUCCUUCAGCGAAUGCAAAAAUUUGUUUUUGUUCUGGUAAUUCACAUAUUUGUUUUUAACUCUGUAUGUGUACAUUUCCUUAAGGGCAAUAAAACUGCUGAUGACUGUCCAGGUUUUCUCUUUCCCUCAGACAUUCUCUAGAUUUUACUUCAUGCCUUUUUUAAUGUGGGUUAGGAGCCAAAUUUCAUUGGACUGAUGGUAUGGCUCACCCUGAUUUCUUUAUUAAUCUGGUCAAAUUGAAAUACUUUGCCCAGGUAAACACACAAACCCUCAGUCUUCUGUUCAGGUGUAACAACUCGAGCUUCAGUUCCCUUUUUUCUAUAGUGGGGUUCACUACUUUGACUAUUACUUUAAUUUUGUCUCGUUUAACACUCAAUUUACUUUUACCAUCAACUUGGACAAUCUGAUAAUUUUAUUGCCACUCCACCAGUUGCAACAGUUUAAAUUUUAUUGGUACUCUACCAGCUUGUAACAACUUUUUUUACGUAGAACACUUUUAACUUGUGCUUGCAUUUUUAACACUAGAUUGUAACUGAAAUAUCGAGUAUCACUCGAUUGAGACUGAGGUUUUUUUUGUACAUAUUUAAGUUUAUCGGUAUAAAGUAUAGCAGACUUUUUCUUCAUUCUUAGACUUCCUUUGGAUGGUGUAUUGAAGCAAGAACUAGGAAAUUUCUCUGAUUAGGAAUCUUGCCUUCUAUUAAAUGUGUGCACUAAACUUUCGCCUUUGUCUGAGAAUCUUCCACACCCUUAAAUCUUUGCAACAGCCUGCCAACAUCGACAAACUGCUUGAUCCUGAUGCUUUUGCAAUCCAAAGGGUUCCUCGGCAACUAAAAAUGAGGCAUAAUACUUGUUACAGACGAUUGUUUUAUUGAGUGUUACAAGAGCAAAGAAAAGGAAAGAAAAGGCCUGGUGAGAGACACGGGGAAGACCAGGGAAAAGUAGUGGGUUCUUGUACUAGGACAUUGAUAACAGAAAAUCCAGUUGAAAUUCCAUUGAUAACGAUUAACCAAUAUCUAGAUUCAAGUAAUGUGGCAUGUGCUUAGUGACAGUAUUCCAUUGGAGAUGGCAGAUAUUGUGGAGACUGAUAUGCUGGAUUGGGGCACAUCCUGGAUGGUGAGAGCCCUUGGUGAUGGAUACAGCCUUCUUGAUGGUUGUGUCUGUGAUGGAGCUGGCUAAAUCUAUAACACCUUGCAGCUUCUUAUGGUCCCGUGCUUUGGAGUCGCCAUAUCAGGCUGUAAUGCAACCAGUCAUAUUGCUCUCUACCAUACAGCUGUAAAAAUUUAUAACCCUCUUAACUCAUCAAACUGUCAACGAGUCGAGUUGCCGGUGUGACUUCUUUGUGGCCCCAGGAUUGACACUGUGGACUUCCACAAACUAAAAUCUGCUCACCCUUCCACCACUGACCCCUCAGUGAAGACUGGUGUACUCUCUCAACUUCAUUUCCUGUGCAAGGUUAUCGUUGAAAUGUUGUGACACCACUCAACCACCUCAACCUCCUCAUUUCUAUUGGGAUGGACAGUGGUGUCAACAAGCAAAUUUACAGAUGGCAUUUGAGCUUUGCAUAACCACAAAUUAUGAGUGUAAAGGGAGCCAGUGGGCUAAGCACACAUCCUUGAUACAUAGUGGGAUCGCCAUAAUUCAUCUCAACGAUCUAAAUAUGGUAGCGUGCAAAUUCAACCUGUGUGCAUAAAGAAGGAUCUUUGAUAUUUUGAUAAGAUGGUGGCGCAUGCAAAUACAGUGGCCUCUUGGGGGGGGGGGUGUGGAAACCCAAGCUGCUUUUUUUUUCUUUGUGAAAUUUGUUGUUUUACGAUCCAAAGACAAUU